AGCCGUUCGCCUCAGUCAGCUCGGUCCUACUCUUCAGUCUCAUCUCGCUGGAAUAGUGUUGUCAUGUGUGAAGAUAUACACGAAAUUGAGACUUCUGGCACAGCGGCCUGCACUGUUCGAAGUCUGUAAGAUCAGUGCUGAAUUCAAAAGAAUCACCACAGUUCCCCUGCAAUCCAAGCAACUGUUGCUGAAUUGGCUGAUUUGUACAAGAUGCACCAUUUCUGAGGACUUCUGGCACAGUGGCCUGCACUGUUUAAAGUUCGCAAGGUAAGACAUUCAAUUCGGAUUGUCUUUAAUGUUUUUUGUGAAUUACAGCGUUUUAUCUCCUUUCUUGAAUGUGUGUGUGGCUUUCUCCUAAUGUUAAUGAUUUGAUUGUUAAAUCCUUUGGGCUCUUUAUGUCUUUUCAGAUCAGUGCUGAAUUGAAAAGAAUCACCACAGUCCCACUGCAAUGGCCUGCACUGUUCC